AUUGAACGCUGGCGGCAUGCCUUACACAUGCAAGUCGAGCGGCAGCGCGGGGCAACCCUGGCGGCGAGCGGCGAACGGGUGAGUAAUGCAUCGGAACGUGUCCUCUUGUGGGGGAUAACCAGUCGAAAGACUGGCUAAUACCGCAUGAGAUCGCGAGAUGAAAGCAGGGGACCGCAAGGCCUUGCGCGAGAGGAGCGGCCGAUGCCGGAUUAGCUAGUUGGUGGGGUAAAGGCCUACCAAGGCGACGAUCCGUAGCUGGUCUGAGAGGACGACCAGCCACACUGGGACUGAGACACGGCCCAGACUCCUACGGGAGGCAGCAGUGGGGAAUUUUGGACAAUGGGGGCAACCCUGAUCCAGCCAUGCCGCGUGUGUGAAGAAGGCCUCGGGUUGUAAAGCACUUUCGGACGGAACGAAAUCGCGCGGGUGAAUAUCCCGCGUGGAUGACGGUACCGUAAGAAGAAGCACCGGCUAACUACGUGCCAGCAGCCGCGGUAAUACGUAGGGUGCGAGCGUUAAUCGGAAUUACUGGGCGUAAAGUGUGCGCAGGCGGCGUCGCAAGUCGGGUGUGAAAGCCCCGGGCGUUAACUUGGGAAUUGCGCUCGAAACUACGGUGCUGGAGUGUGGCAGAGGGAAGGUGGAAUUCCACGUGUAGCGGUGAAAAUGCGUAGAGAUGUGGAGGAACACCGAUGGCGAAGGCAGCCUUCU
rnacentral:rRNA from 1 species